CGAGCACACAGAAGCCACGUCAAGCUCAUUGGCAGCAGCAAGUGCCAUUCAAAGACCCGGGGCACUGUCAAGAUUUCAAAAAGCAUUCGGGAGGGAAUACUACUCAAUUAUUUCAGCUUUUCGAAAACUGAAAAACCGUGACGGAGAGAUUACUUUCUUCGCAAGUGAAACGAAGAAAAAAAAAGAAAAGAAAAAAAAGAACUCAGGACAACUGUUAUGUGUAAAGAGGCUUUCCGCAGUAUCCUUGACGGCCAUCGAGUCCUAACUAGUGAGGAAGGUGAAGUUUUAGGACUUUUUGCAAACUUUGCAAGGAUAAAGACAAGAAAGAGAGAAACUUCUUAAGUAAAGAACACAGACUGAGGAGCACCAAGUCCAGUGGGUUAAAGGCCAGAGUCAUUGUCAGCCACUAUGAGUGGUGCACUACUUUGUGUCGGUCUAUCAAACGAAAUCCCACGAAAUUCAUUGAAGUUUGGGGUGCCAACUUGGCGACAUGGAAAAAUUAAAAGGAGCCUGUCAUUCUUGACUUUGGAUCUCUUAUUCUAAAAUGUUUGCUGCAUUUGGGUUCCUAUCGUGAACUCCAUGAACUUCAUCAAUCUAUGAAAUGUGUUUUAACGCUAUAACUUUUGGGGUGGGGGAAAUAAAUAAAUAAAUAAA